UCUGAACCUUGAGGUCAGUACGUCACAUGACAAAGGAACUAUUGAAAUGAGAAAUAUUGAACAUUUAAUGUAAAAUUGCGUGAAAUUAAUAUGGACAAACUAAAGGGUGUGCAAUGUGUAGGCCCACUGAGUGGACAUUCUAAACCUUGCUUGAAGUCCGUACGUCACAUGAUCAAGGAGCUAUUGAAAUUUGGAAAAAUUCAUGUAAAAUCGUGUGAGAUGAAAAUGGACAAACAAAAGGGUGUGCAACAAACUCAGCAAAAAAAGAAACAUCCUCUGUCAACUGCGUUUAUUUUCAGCAAACUUAACAUGUGUAAAUAUUUGUAUGAACAUAAGAUUCAACAACUGAGACAAACUGAACAAGUUCUACAGACAUGUGAAUAACAGAAAUUGAAUAAUGUGUCCCUGAACAAAGGGGGGGGGGGGUCAAAAUCAAAAGUAACAGUCAGUAUCUGGUGUGGCCACCAUUGACUGCACCAGAUUUGCCAGUUCUUCCUGUGAGAUGUUACCCCACUCUCCCACCAAGGCACCUGCAAGUUCCGGGUCAUUUCUGGUGGGAAUGGCCCUAGCCCUCACCCUCUGAUCCAACAGGUCCCAGACAUGCUCAAUGGGAUUGAGAUCCGGGCUGUUCGCUUGCCAUUGUUGAACAAUGACAUUCCUGUCUUGCAGGAAAUCGCACACAGAACAAGUAGUAUGGCUGGUGACAUUGUCAUGCUGGAGGGUCAUAUCAGGAUGAGCCUGCAGGAAGGGUACCACAUUUUUUUAUAUUUUUUUACCUUUAUUUAACCAGGCAAGUCAGUUAAGAACAAAUUCUUACUUUCAAUGACAGCCUAGGAACAGUGGGUUAACUGCCUGUUCAGGGGCAGAACGACAGAUUUGUACCUUGUCAGCUCAGGGAUUUGAACUUGCAACCUUCCGGUUACUAGUCCAAUGCUCUAACCACUAGGCUACCCAGCGUUGAGAUUGCCUGCAAUGACAAGCUCAGUCCGAUAAUGCUGUGACACAUCGUCCCAGACCAUGACGUACCCUCCACCUCCAAAUUGAUCGCGCUCCAGAGUACAGGCCUCGGUGUAACGCUCAUUCCUUCGACGAUAAACGCAAAUCCGACCAUCACUCCCGGUGAGACAAAACCGCAAGCACUUUUUGCCAGUCCUCUCUGGUCCAGCGACGGUGGGUUUGUGCCCGUAGGCGACGUUGUUGCCAGUGAUGUCUGGUGAGGACCUGCCUUACAACAGGCCUACAAGGCCUCAGUCCAGCCUCUCUCAGCCUAUUGCGGACAGUCUAAGCACUGAUGGAGGGAUUGUGCGUUCCUGGUGUAACUCGGGCAGUUGUUGCCAUCCUGUACCUGUCCCACAGGUGUGAUGUUCAAACGUAACGAUCCUGUGCUGGUGUUACACGUGGUCUGCCACUGAAAGGACAAUCAGCUGUUCGUCCUGUCUCCCUGUAGCACUGUCUUAGUUUUCUCAGUACCGACAUUGCAAUUUAUUGCCCUGGCCACAUCUGCAGUCGUAAGGCACGUUCACGCAGAUGAGCAGGGACCCUAGGCAUCUUUCUUCUGGUGUUUUUCAGAGUCAGUAGAAAGGUCUCUUUAGUGUCCCAAGUUUUCAUAAUUGUGACCUUAAUUGCUUACCAUCUGUAAACUGUUAGUGUUUUAACAACCGUUCCACAGGUGCAUGUUCAUUAAUUGUUUAUGGUUCAUUGAACAAGCAUGGGAAACAGUGUUUAAACCCUUUACAAUGAAGAUCUGGGAAGUUAUUUGGAUUUAAUUAUGUUACCGUCAUUCUGUUGUCAGGUGUUAAUCCCCUUCACUGACUGUAGUUCAAUAAUCAAAAUAGAUUUUUUUCAAACUCAAAAGGGCUAUAUUGUUGGCUGCCAUUAAGCAAGCGCAAUUGCCAAACACACGCUCGUUUGCAAUUUCGACCUGUUAAAGCCAGCGCUCUUCUGUUUUCAAACUCUAGCUUCAGGAUUGGUUUUAUGAGCUUGCUUGCGCUGAAGUGAGAGGGGUGCAAGUAGCCGAGGUGUGUUCUUUUAUGUACUAAUUUCAGGCAGCGCUGUUGGGGUUAUUUAAGACCAACCAAAAGCUGGUCUUAGUGGUAAAGCAGUUAGUUAUGGCAUGGAUUUUGACAAUGGAAGCACAGCCUAUCCAGCUGUGACGCACAGUGCCCCUAUGCACAUGGAACAAGACAGCAGCACCUAGAUCUUCUGCACAGAUUCUGCCAGACCUGGUCCCUGACAGUAAAUCUCAGCAAGACAAAAAUAAUGGUGUUCCAAAAAAUGUCCAGUCGCCAGGACCACAAAUACAAAUUCCAUCUAGACGCUGUUGCCCUUGAGCACACAAAGAACUAUACAUACCUCGGCCAAAACUAUGAUCACUUGGCUACAUAGCUGAUGCCUGCUGGAAUGUCCAUUAAUCACGGUACUCCAUUCUAUUUGUUUAUUUUUUAUCUGUCGGCCGAAGCCGCGAAAUCAGGCUCUGUGUGUAGUUAAUCCAACCCUCUGCCUAGUCAUCGCCAUUUUACCUGCUGUUGUUGUGUUAGCUGACCAGCUGUUGUCUCACCUGUUGUUUUAGCUAGCUCUCCCAAUCAACACCUGCGUUUACUUUAUGCCUCGCUGUGUCUCUCUCAAAUGUCAAUAUGCCUUGUAUACUGUUGUUCAGGUUAGUUAUCAUUGUUUUAGUUUACAAUGGAGCCCCUAGUUCCACUCUUCAUACCCCUGAUACCUCCUUUGUCCCACCUCCCACACAUGCGGUGACCUCACCCAUUACAACCAGCAUGUCCAGAGAUACCUCUCUUAUCAUCACCCAAUGCCUGGGCUUACCUCCGCUGUACCCGCACCCCACCAUACCCCUGUCUGCGCAUUAUGCCCUGAAUAUAUUCUACCAUGCCCAGAAAUCUGCUCCUUUUAUUCUUUGUCCCCAACGCUCUAGGCGACCAGUUUUGAUAGCCUUUAGCUGCACCCUCAUCCUACUCCUCCUCUGUUCCGCGCGUGAUGUGGAAGUAAACCCAGGCCUUGCAUGUCCCCAGGCACCCUCAUUUGUUGACUUCUGUGAUUGAAAAAGCCUUGGUUUCAUACAUGUCAACAUCAGAAGCCUCCUCCCUAAGUUUGUUUUACUCACUGCUUUAGCACACUCCGCCAACCUUGGAAGGCCACCAAAAAUUCAGAGAUUUCCAUACCCAACUAUAACAUUUUCCAUCAAGAUAGAACUGCCAAAGGGGGAGGAGUUAACCUACAAAGUAAUGUCAUACCCAAAUAGUUCGAACUUCUAAUUUUAAAAAUGAAUAUCUCCAGAAAUAAGUCUCUCACUGUUGCCGCCUGCUACCGACCCCCCUCAGCUCCCAGCUGUGCCCUGGACACCAUUUGUGAAUUGAUCGCCCCCCAUCUAGCUUCAGAGUUUGUUCUGUUAGGUGACCUAAACUGGGAUAUGCUUAACACCCCAGCAGUCCUACAAUCUAAGCUAGAUGCCCUCAAUCUCACACAAAUCAUCAAGGAACCCACCAGGUACAACCCUAAAUCUGUAAACAAGGGCACCCUCAUAGAUGUUAUCCUGACCAACUGGCCCUCCAAAUACACCUCCGCUGUCUUCAAUCAGGAUCUCAGCGAUCACUGCCUCAUUUUCUGUAUCCGCUACGGGUCCACGGUCAAACAACCACACCUCAUCACUGUCAAACGCUCCCUGAAACACUUCUGUGAGCAGGCCUUUCUAAUCGACCUGGCCCGGGUUUCCUGGAAGGAUCAUCCCAACAGUUGAGGAUGCCUGGUCAUUCUUUAAAAGUAACUUCCUCACCAUCUUAGAUAAGCAUGCUCCGUUCUUGGUUCCCUCCAGACCUGACUGCCCUCGACCAGCACAAAAACCCCCUGCGGCGGACUGCAAUAGCAUCGAAUAGUCCCCGCGAUAUGCAAUAUGUUCAGGGAAGUCAGGAACCAAUACACGCAGUCAGUCAGGAAAACAAAGGCCAGCUUUUUCAAGCAGACAUUUGCAUCCUGUAGCUCUAACUCCAAAAAGUUCUGGGAAACUGUAAAGUCCAUGGAGAACAAGAGCACCUCCUCCCAGCUGCCCACUGCACUGAGGCUAGGUAACACGGUCACCACCGAUAAAUCCAUGAUAAUCGAAAACUUCCUCCUGGCUAAUCCAACCUCGGCCAACAGCUCCACCCCUACUCGCCCAAGCCUCCCCAGCUUGUCCUUUACCCAAAUCCAGAUAGCAGAUGUUCUGAAAGAACUGCAAAACCUGGACCUGUACAAAUCAGCUGAGCUUGACAAUCUGGACCCUCUAUUUCUGAAACUAUCCGCUGCCAUUGUCGCAACCCUUAUUACCAGCCUGUUCAACCUCUCUUUCAUAUCGUCUGAGAUCCCCAAGGAUCGGAAAGCUGCCGCGGUCAUCCCCCUCUUUAAAGGGGGAGACACCCUGGACCCAAACUGUUACAGACCUAUAUCCAUCCUGCCCUGCCUAUCUAAGGUCUUCGAAAGCCAAGUCAACAAACAGAACACUGACCAUCUCAAAUCCCACCGUACCUUCUCUGCUGUGCAAUCUGGUUUCUGAGCCGGUCACGGGUGCACCUCAGCCACGCUCAAGGUACUAAACGAUAUCAUAACUGCCAUUGAUAAAAGACAGUACUGUGCAGCAGUCUUCAUCGACCUGGCCAAGGCUUUCGACUCUGUCAAUCACCAUAUUCUUAUCGGCAGACUCAGUAGCCUCGGUUUUUCUAAUGACUGCCUUGCCUGGUUCACCAACUACUUUGCAGACAGAGUUCAGUGUGUCAAGUCGGAGGGCAUGUUGUCCGGUCCUCUGGCAGUCUAUGGGAGUGCCACAGGGUUCAAUUCUCGGGAUGACUCUUUUCUCUGUAUAUAUCAAUGUUGCCCUUGCUGCGGGCAAUUCCCUGAUCCACCUCUACGCAGACGACACCAUGCUGUAUACUUCUGGCCCUUCCUUGGACACUGUGCUAUCUAACCUCCAAAUGAACUUCAAUGCCAUACAACACUCCUUCCGUGGCCUCCAACUGCUCUUAAAUGCUAGUAAAACCAAAUGCAGGCUUUUCAACCGUUCGCUGCCUGCACCCGCACGCCUGACUAGCAUUACCGCCCUGGAUGGUUCCGAGCAGUAUGUGGACAUCUAUAAGUACCUAGGUAUCUGGCUAGACUGUAAACUCUCCUUCCAGACUCAUAUCAAACAUCUCCAAUCUAAAAUCAAAUCUAGAGUCUGCUUUCUAUUUCGCAACAAAGCCUCCUUCACUCAUGACCCAAACUUACCAUAGUAAAACUGACUAUCCUACCGAUCCUUGACUUCAGCAAUGUCAUCUACAAAAUAGCUUCCAAUACUCUACUCAGCAAACUGGAUGCAGUUUAUCACAGUGCCAUCCGUUUUGUUACUAAAGCACCUUAUACCACCCACCACUGCAACCUGUAUGCUCUAGUCGGCUGGCCCUCGCUACAUAUUCGUCGCCAGACCCACUGGCUCCAGGUCAUCUACAAGUUCAUGCUAGGUAAAGCUCCGCCUUAUCUCAGUUCACUGGUCACGAUGGUAACACCCACCCGUAGCACGUGCUCCAGCAGGUGUAUCUCACUGAUCGUUCCUAAAGCCAACACCUCAUUUGGCCACCUUUCCUUCCAGUUCUGUGCUGCCUGUGACUGGAACGAAUUGCAAAAAUCGCUGAAGUUGGAGACUUAUCUCCCUCACCAACUGUACAUAGUCAAUCGGUAAAUGGCCCACCCAAUCUACCUACCUCAUCACCAUACAGUUAUUUUAUUUACUUUUCUGCUCUUUUGCACACCAGUAUCUCUACCUGCACAUGACCAUCUGAUCUUUUAUCACUUCAGUGUUAAUCUGCUAAAUUGUAAUUAUUUGCCUACAUCCUCAUGACUUUUGCACACAAUGUAUAUAGACUCUUUUCUACUGUGUUAUUGACUUGUUUUAUUGUUUACUCCAUGUGUAAAUCUGUUGUCUGUUCACACUGCUAUACUUUAUCUUGGCCAGGUCGCAGUUGUAAAUGAGAACUUGUUCUCAACUAGCCUACCUGGUUAAAUAAAGGUGAAAAAAAAACAUCAGCACCACAGGUAACCUCCACAAAGCUGUGAACGAGCUGAAAGACAAGGAAAGAAGGGCCUUCUAUGCCAAAAGGAACAUAAAAUUUGACAUACCGAUUAGGAUCUGGCAAAAAAUACUUGAAUCAGUUAUAGAACCCAUUGCCCUUUAUGGUUGUGAGGUCUGGGGUCCGCUCACCAACCAAGAAUGAACAAAAUGGGACAAACACCAAACGCAUGCAGAACAGUAUUAGGCCAAUACCCUCUAAAUAUCAAAAUCCAGAAAAGAGCAGUUCAAUUUUACAACCACCUAAAAGGAAGCGAUUCCCAAACCUUCCAUAACAAAGCCAUCACCUACAGAGAGAUGAACCUGGAGAAGAGUCCCUUAAGUAAGCUGGUCCUGGGGCACUGUUCAACCACCCCACUGAGCCCAGAACAGCAACACAAUUAUACCCAAGAAAUUAUGAGAAAACAAAAAGAUAAUUCUUUUCAAGGUGUCAAGUAAUUAACAAAAAAAACAGCAAACUAGAAUGCUAUUUGGCCCUAAACGGAGAAUACACAGUGGCAGAAUACCUGACCACUGUGACUGACCUAAACUUAAGGAACACUUUGACUAUGUACAGACUCAGUGAGCAUAGCCUUGCUAUUGAGAAAGGCAGCAGUAGGCAGACCUGGCUCUCAAGAGAAGAUAGGAUAUGUACACACUGCUCACAAAAUGAGUGGAAACUGAGCUGCACUUCCUAACCUCCUGCCAAAAGUAUGACCAUAUAAGAGACAUAUUUACCUCACAUUACACAAAGAAUUAGAAAACAAACCUAAUUUCGAUAAACUCCAAUACAUACCAGUGCGCAAUCACGGCAGCAAGAUUUGUGACCUGUUGCCACAAGAAAAGGGCAACCAGUGAAGAACAAUCACCUUUUAUAAAUAAAACCCAUAUUUGUAUUUACAUAUUUAUGUUUAUUUAUUUUCCCUUUUGUACUUGAACUAUUUACACAUCGUUACAACAUUGUAUAUAUAUGACAUUUGAAAUGUCUUUUCUUUUGGAACUUUGAGUGUAAUGUUUACUGUUCAUUUGUAUUGUUUAUUUUACUUUUUUAACUUUUUGUUGUCUACUUCACUUGCUUUGGCAAAGUUAAAAUAUGUUUCCCAUGCUAAUAAAGCCCUUGAAUUUAAUAGAAUUUCUGUGCUUUUUGUGCCAUUUCCUUGUAGGCUGUUUUUUUUGGUCCUGCUCAAUGCAUUCGCCAAGUAGUUAAGACUGUCAACGGGUUUGGCUCCUUAGACCGCUUUGAAAUAAAUCUUAAAUCACCAAAGCUUUAUUAAAAGAUCAAGUUGGGAGCAUCACCUUUUUUUAUCUACGUAUGCGAUUCUACAGUAUUUUAGAUGUGCGUAAAAACCCCUCCAUGUAGGCUAUACAUAUUUAUUUUUUAUUUCACCUUUAUUUAACCAGGUAGGCAAGUUGAGAACAAGUUCUCAUUUACAAUUGCGACAUGGCCAAGAUAAAGCAAAGCAGUUCGACAGAUACAACGACACAGAGUUACACAUGGAGUAAAACAAACAUACAGUAUAAACAAGUCUAUAUACAAUGUGAGCAAAUGAGGUGAGAAGGGAGGUAAAGGCAAAGUAAAUACAAUAUAGCAAGUAAAACACUGGAAUGGUAGUUUUGCAAUGGAAGAAUGUGCAAAGUAGAAAUAAAAAUAAUAGGGUGCAAAGGAGCUAAAUAAAUAAAUAAAUUAAAUUAAAUACAGUUGGGAAAGAGGUAGUUGUUUGGGCUAAAUUAUAGGUGGGCUAUGUACAGGUGCAGUAAUCUGUAAGAUGCUCUGACAGUUGGUGCUUAAAGCUAGUGAGGGAGAUAAGUGUUUCCAGUUUCAGAGAUUUUUGUAGUUCGUUCCAGUCAUUGGCAGCAGAGAACUGGAAGGAGAGGCGGCCAAAGAAAGAAUUGGUUUUGGGGGUGACUAGAGAGAUAUACCUGCUGGAGCGUGUGCUACAGGUGGGAGAUGCUAUGGUGACCAGCGAGCUGAGAUGAGGGGGGACUUUACCUAGCAGGGUCUUGUAGAUGACAUGGAGCCAGUGGGUUUGGCGACGAGUAUGAAGCGAGGGCCAGCCAACGAGAGCGUACAGGUCGCAAUGGUGGAUAGUAUAUGGGGCUUUGGUGACAAAACGGAUUGCACUGUGAUAUAUGACUGAAUGAUGAUCUGGUGACUUUUUUUACUUGUUACUGUAGCCUAUGCUAUUUAAUAAACUGUAUCAAUCUACAACAGACUAGAAAGAGAAUAUUCCGUGUCCCCAGAUGAAUUGAAGUUGAUGACAAAGCAAAGAUAGUCAAUAACCUACAGAAUUUGAGACAAUUACAUGCAGUAUUACGCCAUGAAGGUGGCCAAGCCAUUGUCACACCUAUAAUUAAGUUAUUCAUCAAAAUCCAGCCAUUUCACGCCACCUCCAGCUCUUGUCCUCAAUUUCCACAAACAUAUUUCUGACACACACCCAGAUUUACCAAUGUGUUUUUAGGUUUGUUAAAAUAGAGCCCAAGGUGUCAUUUCAUAGCUGACACUUCAUUCUUUCUGCAGCCAUCUUUGAAUCUUAAUUCAGAAUAGACAUUUAAGAGUUUUUGGAAAAUUUGGUCACAAACUGAGGGAGAUUUUAAUGUCAUUCUGUCACAAAACUUUACAUGUGCACUGUUCUUCAAUUGCAUGUGUUUUUGCAAAAUUGUUAGUGGAAAUAGUCCUUGGGCAUAGUGUUGUAUGAUUUGUUUAACAUUGCAAUCAAUGGUUUUUGUUUGGCAUACAUUUUGAGAUUAAAAAUCAGAGGCUCAGCAUCAUUCCGUAUUUUUAUUUAACUAGGUAAGUCAGUUAAGAACAAAUUCUUAUUUACAGUGAUUGCCUACACGACGCUGGGCCAAUUGUGCGCCACCCUAUGGGACUCCCAAUCACAGCAGGUUGUGAUACAGCCUGGAUUCUAACCAGGGUGUCUGUAGUGACGAUUCUAGCACUGAGACAGUGCCUUAGACCGCUGCGCCACUCGGGAGCUCAAAUCGCCAGAAACGAAUCCCCUCACUUCCUUGCCAUGUUUACUUUCAACUCCCAGUACACUGCUUUGGUACAUUUUAAUAAACUGAUACAUUGUAGCUGCUCGAGUGAAAUAUUUAUUUAUCCAAAACAAUGUUUUCGUAAUUGUAGAGCUCUUAGAAGUUGGGGUUACAAAAAUGUACUAUGAUCUGUCCCAAACAUAUUGUGUGGGGCAUUAAUUUCAAUGUCACUGGAGCGUGAGAAAUGACACUAAGACAAAAGGAGCUCUCAUUGUGUGUUCCUCCAACAGGAAGUGGCAGAGAAAGCACAGGGUGCAGAGGGCCUCUUUCUCUUUCCUCCUUGGACAAAGACCAUGACCUUUUCCUCAGUUCAAACCAUCGCAGAGAAACUCACAGGGAUCACACAUCCAGUGGAUUUCGAGGAGCAAGUGACCGAUGACCCUAAUGGAGAGACCCUAACCCUGGAGUCCAAGAUGCAACCUCUGCAGCUUGACACAAUGAUGAAGAGUAGACCCAGCAAAACACACAAUUACUGGGUUUUGCCUUACCGUGAUUUAAGCUAAAGUUAUUUGUAAUCCAGCUCAAGAAUACAUUACAUCCUACCUUGUAAACGUUUUACUGCUGUCUAUGACUGGGUUAUAAAGUAUGAAAUUACUUAUGGUGAUAAAUGACAAGAGAAUAAGGUUCAAAUAGGCAUUCCAACAGUUAGCAGAGAAAGCCUCAGAUGGUUUCACCUGUCUCUGUGCUUGUCUCCACCUGCCACCAGGUGUCUCCCAUCUCUCAGUGUUCUCUGUCUGUUGCCAGUUUGUCAAGCCUACCACCGUUUUUCCCCUUGCGCCUGUCUUUUUCUAGUUCCCGUUUUUGACCAUUCUGCCUGCCCUGGAUACUGGCCUCUGCCUGCCCUUGACCUGUUGUUUUGCCU